AUUGAACGCUGGCGGCAGGCUUAACACAUGCAAGUCGAGCGGGGUGAUGGUGCUUGCACUAUCACUUAGCGGCGGACGGGUGAGUAAUGCUUAGGAAUCUGCCUAUUAGUGGGGGACAACAUCUCGAAAGGGAUGCUAAUACCGCAUACGUCCUACGGGAGAAAGCAGGGGAUCUUUAUGACCUUGCGCUAAUAGAUGAGCCUAAGUCGGAUUAGCUAGUUGUUGGGGUAAAGGCCUACCAAGGCGACGAUCUGUAGCGGGUCUGAAAGGGUGAUCCGCCACACUGGGACUGAGACACGGCCCAGACUCCUACGGGAGGCAGCAGUGGGGAAUAUUGGACAAUGGGGGGAACCCUGAUCCAGCCAUGCCGCGUGUGUGAAGAAGGCCUUAUGGUUGUAAAGCACUUUAAGCGAGGAGGAGGCUCUUUUGGUUAAUACCCAGAAUGAGUGGACGUUACUCGCAGAAUAAGCACCGGCUAACUCUGUGCCAGCCGCCGCCGUAA
rnacentral:rRNA from 1 species